rnacentral:rRNA from 1 species
UACGUAGGGGGCAAGCGUUGUCCGGAAUUAUUGGGCGUAAAGCGCGCGCAGGUGGUUUCUUAAGUCUGAUGUGAAAGCCCACGGCUCAACCGUGGAGGGUCAUUGGAAACUGGGAGACUUGAGUGCAGAAGAGGAAAGUGGAAUUCCAGGUGUAGCGGUGAAAUGCGUAGAUAUCUGGAGGAAUACCGGUGGCGGAAGGCGGCAUCCUGGACCGGCAUUGACGCUGAUGAGCGAAAGCUAGGGGAGCAAACGGG